rnacentral:lncRNA from 1 species
AGCAUUUCAAUCAUACACACAAUAUGCUCAAUAUGUGAAAUACAACAUGGCAUCACAACAAGACUCUACGACUCAAAGUAUUUAUUCAUUAGGCUCCGAGGAGCGAGAUAUUACAAACAUGGGUCUCAUGACCCAACAUUUAGAGCAUACAAGCAACAAGCACAUGCGGAAGCUUAACUUGUCUGAGUACAGACAACUACAAAUGAAGAAGGCUCAGAAGCCUGACUAUCUACAAGACCCUCCCAAGGUACAAGAUCGUAGUUGAGGUAACAAGCUAAGCGUCGAAGUCCACGUGGAACUACUAGCGAUAUUGACGUCUCUCUGCAAAAACAUAAAUUAAGCAAACGUGAGUACAAAUGUACUCAGCAAGACUUACAUCAGAGCUAACUACAUAUGCAUCAUUAUCAACAAAGGGAUGGUGGAGUUUAACUACAGCAAGCCAGCUUUGACUCGGUGGCUAUCUGAACUACGACUGCAAGUAACCCUUUUGAGGUGGUGCACACGAGUCCACAAAUUCACCAUACCAAUACACCACUAUGGAUCCGCUCCCGUCUCCCUACGAGAACGCCAUCCAUAGCACUCACGCUUAUCUUGCGCAUUUUAGAUUAUCCACUUUCACUUGUCUAUGAACUAUGCAAGGGGUCCAAGUUUCCAUAUCCGAGGAAUCCGGCUAUUCGAAUAGAUAAUGAUAACCCUGCAGGGGUGUACUUCUUCACACACGCUCUCGCCACUUAUCGCCCUGUACAUGUCAUGUACCUCGGCAACCUUCAAGCGGAAGCCGGGCGAGGGAGUCGGCCACGACCUGACUAAUCACACAAGUCUCUCGUCCAGGUUUAUCGCCUAUUCGGGUUCCAUCCGCAAGGAGAUCCGGCUGGGGUGUCGCUCACGGCCCCAAACGAUGUGUACAGGGUUCCCAAGCCCACCAUCCGGGUGCCACUUGGUACAUCGGGCCACUGUGCCUAGUCUGUCCCAAGCCCACCUGUACCGGGUGCCACUUGGUAGACUACUAACACUACCUACAAACACCAGAAACUAGUUGCAACUCCUAGACAGAGAUCGAGUGGAUUAAUAAGUCGAGAGGGGUCGAGUUACUGGAACCCAAUGUGUGGUAGUAACUGUUCAUGGAUCACAAACACAGAACUCAGUUCCUAAGAACGGCUGCAAUGAGACAACCCACCAUGUACUCCUACAUGGCCUCUCACCGCUACCUUUACCAAAUCGGGUUCACACACUUAGCUCUCAACGGUAGGACAUGUUCACCACAUUCCAAUUCAUCCCCGAUGAAUCAUACCUGACUCAACUCUAAGAAGUAGCAGGCAUGACAAACAAACAUAAAUGAGUAGGCACAUCAGGGCUCAAACAACUCCUACUCAUGCUAGUGGGUUUCAUCUAUUUAAUGUGGCAAUGACAGGUCAUGCAGAGGAAAGGGGUUUAGCUACCGCAGCAUGUAACAGUUGAAACGUUGUUGUCCUAAUGCAGUAAAAGAGAGCGGGAGCGAGAGAGUGGGAUUGUAUCAGAAUGAACAAGGGGGUUUUGCUUGCCUGGCACUUCUGAAGAUAUUAUAGCUCUUCAUCGGUGUCAUCGAUCACAGCGUCGGAGCAGCGUCUACCGAGAGGGGACAAUUACCGGCAAACAAGGAAGAGCACAAUCAAUGCAAUGCACAAUAUGAUGCAUGAUCAUGACAUGACAAUAUGUUGUGAUUUGAGCUAAUGCAACUAGUAACAUAAAGGUUUGGAUUGAUUUGAACUCAAGGUUCAAAUUCAAAUUCAAACUAUGAAUUCAAAUAGUGCAUUAUCAUGUUUUGGACUAAACAGUGAGGUUAAGUUGUUCAAACAUGCAUGAAAAUGGUACAAAUGGAUAGAUUGAAUUUUUCUGAUGAUUUUUCAUAUAUAAAUUAUUUCAUUUGGAGUUACGGUUGAAUUUAUAUGAAUUUUUGAAGUCUAUACUAUUUUCUGGAAUUUCUAAUUAUUUUCUGAUUUAUUUUAAUUCCACAAAAAGCUUUACUGCGUCAGCACUACGUCAAGGUGAUGUCAGCAGGUCAACUAGACGGGUCCUGGUAAAACCUGACUAGUGGGGUCCACUGGUCAGUGACACAAUGCUGUCCAGGGUCAAUGACAGGUGGGUCCGGUCAACGGCCACGUCAGCAAGGUCAACCUGACAUGUGGGCCCAGUGGAUUAGUCUAAGUUAAACAGGGAAUAAAAACCGGGGAUUAAUUAGGGUGUGGGGCCCUUCCGUCAGUGGCACAAGGUUAAGCUAACCGCGGGGUUAGUGGCUAAACUAACCUGCCACGUCACCUAACCGGCGUUUAACCGCCGGCGCUAACAGAACACGGCGGCGAUCGCCGGCCAGCCGUUUCCGGCCACGGCUGGACGCACCGAGGGUACCGGAGGCAAGCUCGUGCUCUCCCGCAUCCAGGGGAGGUCUCAGGAGGUCGCGGGGUGGCCUGGUUCAUCGACGGCGAGCAUUUGGGCGGCAGCCAGAGUUCGGUGUGCGAGCGAGCACGGCUAUAGGGCGCUAGUGGCUAACCAAAGGGGUCCUCUGGACUCCUGGCAUCUUCAGGAACACGACCAUGCGCUCGGGCGCGUCUAAUGCAUGCUAGAUCGAUGGCGGCGACGAGGGCGCCGGCGGUGAGCUCACGGAUGCGGCGAGGCUACCAGCUAGAGGACGCAACCAACGACGGAAGUAGGGGGAAAAGAUGGGCGGCCUCACAGCGGUUGCAGCACGCGUCUCGGUGGGCUCGGGGAAGGUCGGACGAUGCCGGGACAACGAGGCGAAUCUUCGGCGGCCGAAGAAGGGGAUGACGGCGAUGGCGGCGUUACGGGGCGCUCCGACUGGCUUCCUUCUAUGGAGAUGCGUAGCGCGAGGUGGCGGAGCUGCUGGGCAUCCUAGCUAGGCGCGGGGGGCUUGGUGGCCACGGCAACGGCGAGCGGCGUCGACGACGGCUCUCUGUUCGGGCGAAGAACGAAGAGGAAGAGGGGGGAAAUGGCCAGGGAAGAAGGGGGGGUCAGCACGGCCUCGUCCACGUCUCCUGGGCGCGGGGUUGGGGGGAAGGAGGCAUCGACACGGUGAAGCAGGAGGUGGCUGGGGCGCGCCUGCGUGCAUCGGCCACGUGCGCCCGUCCCUCCGGCAAGAGGAAGACGACAGGAGGAGGUGGGCUAGGCCAGGUGGCUAGGCGGGCCGACUGGGCCGGCUAGGUGGGCUGCAGGUGAGACCAGGUGAGUCCUUCUCUCUCUCUCCUUUUUUAUGUUUUCUAUUUUCUGUCUUUGUUUUUUGGAUUUAGUAAAAUACUAAACCGCUUUAUAAAAUCCUGAAAUAAAUUGUGGGCACAUACUGGAUUAUUCCCAACAGCCCUCAACUACUUUUCAGAAUUAUUAGAGCAUUUAAAAUAUUUAUAGAAUUUAAAUGCCCCAAUUCAGAUACAAUAUGAGUUAAUUCAAAAAUCCAUAAAUGGCCAAGAAAUAUGCUCAUCAUUUUUGGCAGAGGUUUUCACCUUUAUCAAAGUCAUGAACAUUUCCAAAGGCAUUUUGGGUUCAUUGAAGAUUAUUUUAGGUUGAACCUAUUUGAUCUGGUGCUAGGGUUUGAACAAUCCCCAUUUCAAGUUUAAAAGAAAUUUAGACAUGAUGCAGCAACCAAGCUAGUCCAAGCGCAUGGCAAACCAAAGCCAUAUGCCAGCCACCGCCCUCUAAACUAUCCCCAUCACUUGGCCCUUCGCGGUCUGGGGGCUUGACAUGGUUGGACCCCUUAAAGGCGGAACCCACAAGCAAAAAUACUUACUGGUCAUGGUGGAUAAGUUCACCAAAUGGAUAGAAGCCAAGCCUGCUAAGACGGCCGAAUCCGGAUCGGUGAUAGACUUUAUAUCCGGGGUUGUACACCGUUACGGCGUCCCCCACAGCAUCAUCACUGAUAACGGCACGAACUUUACGGCCGACGAGGUAAAACUCUGGUACAAAAACAUGGGCAUCAAGCUCGAUUAUGCUUCCAUCUAUCACCCACAAACUAACGGCCAGGUCAAACGUGCAAAUGGUCUUAUCAUGAGCGGCAUCAAACCCAGAUUAGUGCGGUCCCUCAAAGAAUCUAACACGCACUGGGUAGAGGAGCUCGACUCCAUACUCUGGGGGCUGCGGACCACGCCGAAUCGCACCACCGGAUACACACCAUUCUUUAUGGUGUACGGCGCAGAGGCAGUUUUGCCUUGCGACAUAAUUCAUGACUCACCUCGAGUGCGCAUGUACGAAGAAAGAGAAGCCGAGCUCGAUCGGCAGGACAGUUUGGACGCAUUGGAGGAGGAGCGUGACAUGUCAAAAGUCCGUUCCGCAUUCUAUCAACAGUAGGCUCAAAGAUACCAAAGCAGAGAAGUACGGGCCAAAAAUUACAACGUUGGCGAAUUAGUUCUAUGCCUGCCGGACAAGAAAAAGGACAAACUCAAGCCCAAGUGGGAAGGUCCCUUCAUAAUUGACCAAGUCCUGACUGGUGGAGCGUACCGCCUGCGAGAUGCAUCGGAUAACCGACUCGAGCCGAACCCAUGGAACACAGCCCGUCUCCGAAGAUUCUAUGCCUAGCGCUGGACUCUGUGUUCGUCUCCUUCCUUUGUCCAUUUUUUAUAUUGUCUGUCUUACAUUUCUCUCCUUCUCCCCUUCCUUUCUCUUAUAGCCUUUAAAGGCUCAUCAAAUGACGUGAUAUUCGCAUUCAUUAAACCUGGGGGCUUCUUUUAACAGAAGCUUAUUUAUACGGGCUUCAUGCCCAACACAUGUGUUACACUUCCGCAUGUACCUUUUAUUUCACCAUUAUAUGCAUCGAUAUGACUUAAGUUUUGGCCAAGCUGGGUUGCCUGGCUCCUGUGCUUACCCCUAUGUUCCCGAUUAUUCGGCUAGGCGGUAAAGGGAGCACCUCUGCGAUUGUUACUGCCGGAUCAGCCGGAUGUGUACCUCAGACUGGGUGAAGCCGAAAGCUAGCGUUCUUAAGGGAAUAUUCGGUCGGUGACCUAAAAGAUGAUCUUUUCACUUAUUUAUUUAUGCGCCCCCAGAUGCUUUUUCCCGCCUCUUUUUCGCAGAAUGGGCAUGCACUUUAGGGCAUGCCUCCCAGGGAAAGGAACCCCUAACGGAACUAUUCUCCCUGGAAGAUGUUUCUUACUAACCAUGUAAUAUAACAUAACUAGUCGGGCACUUGUCUGUUCACGCACUAAUGACCCCUACGCCUGGUCUCCAUGCAUUCCCCGGCUCUUAUAUAAUCGCAUGGGAAUUCGGACACACUCCGGACCGUCAGGUCCCGAGGCUGAAGCGAAAAGGUCGGCCAUGACAAACGAUCUACAAUCCGGCUAGAAGGCAUUAUAAAUGUCAAUUAAAUUACAUAGUCAUUCUGACUGAUUGUAUUCUUCUUCAAUACCAUCUAACAGGCUGUCUAAUUUACAGUCCUGCUGGGAAUACUUUGCGACCAAUUCUACUUGGCCGUAUACUAAGCUUACAGGGAUCUCCUUCCCAUUGGGCCCCACAGGACCGACCUCGGCCAUGUGGUUGGGGUCAGCCUUUGUGUACCGCAUCUUCACCAUGGCCCAGGCCUCCCUAGCGCCUUGACGGCAUGCCGAUAUCUUCCACAAUCAGAAGCGCCACCGUGCUCCCUUUAACUUCUCCGCAAGCUCUCCAAGACCUUCGGGCAUGGAGAUGGAUGGCCACAAGGCAUGGGCGACGCCUUGCAUCGCCUGCCGAACUCGCUCGAGCAGUUGCGAGAGCUCGGGAAGGAGGUCACCCGUAGAACCGGGCAUCUCCUCUGCAGGACGACCUGUUAGCACACCUACAGACAUUACUCUGUUAGUCGACUUCCCCGCCGAACUUUUUUCAAAGGUUCGUUCAAGCACUUACUAAAUAUGCCGCGCCGAAGCCGCUGAUUCUCCUUAACGGAGUCUGACAGCUGGGCACGAACAUCUUUCAGGUUGACGCCCAGCUUGGUGUUGGCAUCUUGGAGAUCGUUCUUCUCCCGCCUCACCUUUGUCAACACCUUCUCACCAGCCUUCAGCUGGCGUAGGAGUUGUUGCCUUUCCAGAUUCAAUCCGGCGCCAUCUGCAAUUUCAUUUGUCAGAUUCGCACCCAUGCCGUGCUUCGCAAAAUACUUAUCUUUCGAAGUGUAUAUUACCAGAGGGGGUCUCCUUGGACUCCCCUGCCGCGGCUAGUGCGGCCUCAAGUUGGGCUUUGCACUCUUCCAGCUCCUGGGACAGUAGGGAAUUCUUUUCUGUAAGAACCUGCAUAACAAAUGAUCCUUAAAUCAGUUAUUCUAACUGUUUCAAGUCUCGGGGGCUACUGGUAUAUAUAUAUAUAAUUACCAAAAUUUUCUUACUCGUAUGUCUUUUACAUAUUGCUCCGUGGCUCUGGCUAGACCAUUUUGAGCGGCACGGAGGUACGCAUCUCCCAAAUUGAAGGCAUCUAAUGCCUCUUGGGAGAAACAAGCGUCGCGAAGAAUUGUCCGGCGACGCCUGUGGUUCAUGGCACUCUCCAUCUCAGAGUUGGUGGCAGACAAUCUGUCCACAUCCUCCGUCGGAGGAGCGUCCGGUGCGCGCCUUGUGUUCGCCUCCGCCUCCGGACCAGGCUUUGGAGCCUGGCUGGUGGAGGCGCGAUUGGCAGCCUCUCCGGAUAUAGUCCGGCGAGGUCUCUUUGUCCUGAAGAGAGCACGAGUGUUAAUAUGCCUUGAAGGUAUAACACCUGGGAUAAGGGGGCGCGCCAUACCUUUGCACUGACGCCUCGGUCCGGACUGCACCUCUUUUCUGCCCACGGGGCCCUGCAGCCCCUCGUUGGCUUGUCGCCGCAGGUUCGGCCUCCCGUCUCAAAAACCUCCCCUGCAAAGCUCGGUUGUAAUCAGGAAACUGAAAACACGAGAGGGCGGACCCCUAUUCGGGGUACUGGGACUUCGAUCUCAGUUACCUGGGAGGCCGGGAUUAGCCCUGGGUAAUCGGCCGUAAUGGCCACCAAGGCAUUGUCCUUGCUCAAUUGAUGGAACACUUCAUCAAUCAGCUCCACAGAUAAGUCUGGAUCCUCUUGAGAGGCCGGGUCGAGGGACCGUCCUGGGUCCUCGGGUUGUGGAGGAGGGCUGUUUAUUUCUUUAACAGUCUGGCGUAGUUCCUGCGUUGAAGUCGUUAGACUGAAUAUUUAACAAUGGGAAUAUAAAACGGAUGGGCAAGUAAAUGUGACCACUUACCCAGCUUGGGGGAUUGUACAUAGAAAAUCCACCCUGUGGGUCGACACAGAGAAAUUCCUCCUCUUCUCCCUUGUACAAAGCGGACAAGGUCUUUGUUAGAGCCGCAGCCGAAUCCGGCCCCUUACGGCCGUAGCGGGUGGCGUCGUCCUCCCCGUUGAAGUCCCACAUAGGGUGGCCUCUAUACUGUAGCGACUGCACCCCUCGCAUGAUGCAUGCGGCCAUGACCCCGAUCAUGGUCAGUCCGAAAUGAGCUAACAAUCUUAUCCGGCCCAUGAGGUAAGAACGUCCUUGUCAUUUUCCCUCUGAGGGCUCCGUGGACGCCAACUUAGGCGCUUCUUUAGUGGAGCACUGUCGAACUCAGGGAGGCCGAUCCGGACAGGAUCCGGCAGCGGGACGUCUUCUAUGUAAAACCAUUCCGAAGGCCAGUCCUCGGACGCCUUCUUUGGGGUUCCGGAUAGAUAUCCGGUCCCGACGAUGCGCCACACUUCGGCUCCGCCCACUUAAUAUAUUAACCCCUUCUGAGAACGGGGCACAAGGCAGAAUAGCUCUUUCCACAGCCCGAAAUGAGCCUCAACACCCAAAAACAGCUCGCAGAGGGCUAUGAAGCCCGCGAUAUGCAAUACGGAGGCAGGCGUAAGAUUGUGUAGCUGGAGGCCAUAGAACUCCAGGAGCCCCCAGAGAAACGGAUGGAUUGGAAAUCCGAGCCCUCUUAUUAAAUAAGGGACAAGGCAUGCCCACUCUCCUUUGGAGGGAUUAGGGGCACUCUUCGCUUGCUCUCUGCCAUUAUAGAUGGCAAGACCGGCUCGAACCGGGACCAUAUAGGCCGGGGGGAGAAAUCCUUGGUCUGGAGCGUCACUAGCUCGCUAUGCGGGAUGGAGCAUCUCUCCCAAUAUCCAGGCUGAGGGCUGGAAAGGCGAAAGGAGGAGUUGCGAUGGCUGGCCAUGGUGGAAUGGACCUUUGCCGGAUGCGCUCUGAUGAACACUCGCGAAGGGGAGAAGGUGUGGUUUGGAUCUAAAUCAUCGUCUCCUUAAAUGGGCGGCUCAUUUACGCGGAUAGGGGUGUGGAUGUAAAAACACUCAGACUUUUCAUAUUCGUUUGACACGUGGGAGACGGCCAUUAUUGGGCGUAGAAGCCAAGGAGCGCAACAUUUAAAAGAAACCGGACUUUAUUCAACAGGUACACGGAAUUUGGAGGAGAACCCGCCUUGCAAUGCCGAAGACAAUCUGCGCGCCGGACUCAUUGUCAUUGAAACCUGGUUUGGGGGCUACUGAGGGAGUCCUGGAUUAGGGGGUGUUCGGAUAGCCGGACUAUACCUUCAGCCGGACUAUACCUUCAGCCGGACUCCUGGACUAUGAAGAUACAAGAUUGAAGACUUCAUCCCGUGUCCGGAAGGGACUUUCCUUGGCGUGGAAGGCAAGCUUGGCGAUACGGAUAUGUAGAUCUCCUACCAUUGUAACCGACUCUAUGUAACCCUAACCCUCUCCGGUGUCUAUAUAAACCGGAGGGUUUUAGUCCGUAGGGGACAACAAUCAUACCAUAGGCUAGCUUCUAGGGUUUAGCCUCUCUGAUCUCGUGGUAGAUCUACUCUUGUACUACCCAUAUCAUCAAUAUUAAUGAAGCAGGACGUAGGGUUUUACCUCCAUCAAGAGGGCCCGAACCUGGGUAAAACUUCGUGUCCCUUGCCUCCUGUUACCAUCCGGCCUAGACGCACAGUUCGGGGCCCCUACCCGAGAUCUGCUGGGUUUGACACCGACAAUGACCGAAUAGCUACACUACACGGUUAACAUCAUAAGUGCUGAUGAGGUCUCACUCUCGGCACUCGAUAGUAACCCAGUAGUGUCGAGCAACUAAGGGGAAAGUGAUGUGCGGUGCCGGGGCCUAGUCUUCGAUCCUGUUUAUCGAGUCUUCGAUGAUGAAACAGGGGCAACAAGGACAAGGUGGGGAUCACUCAUGGAUCACUAACCAACCUAUACUAAGCAGUUUAGGAUAAGCAGGUAAGGUACAAUGAGCAGGUUACAAAAACAGGCUAUGCAUCAAAAUAGGAGCAAACAAUAACAGUAGCAAAAUCUAAUGCAAGCAUGAGAGAAUAGAAUGGGCGAUAUCGGGAUGAUCAAAGAGGGGGUUGCCUGGAAGCUCCGCUGAAAGGGAAGAAGGGUCGUCGACGACAUAGUCGAUCACAGCAGCAUCAACAACGGUCUCGGGGU